rnacentral:rRNA from 1 species
AUACGUAUGGGGCAAGCGUUAUCCGGAUUCAUUGGGCGUAAAGCGCGUGUAGGCGGCUUGUUAAGUCAGAUGUGAAAACCGGGGGCUUAACCCGCGGCGUGCAUCUGAAACUGGCAGGCUUGAGUCUGGUGGAGGAAAGUGGAAUUCCUAGUGUAGCGGUGAAAUGCGCAGAUAUUAGGAGGAACACCAGUGGCGAAGGCGGCUUUCUGGGCCACGACUGACGCUGAGACGCGAAAGCUAGGGGAGCAAACAGGAUUAGAAACCCCGGUAGUCC